rnacentral:rRNA from 1 species
GACGAACGCUGGCGGCGUGCCUAAUACAUGCCAGUAGAACGCACAGUUUAUACCGUAGCUUGCUACACCAUAGACUGUGAGUUGCGAACGGGUGAGUAACGCGUAGGUAACCUGCCUGGUAGCGGGGGAUAACUAUUGGAACGAUAGCUAAUACCGCAUAAUAUUGAUUAUUUCAUGAUAAUUGAUUGAAAGAUGCUAUUGCAUCACUACCAGAUGGACCUGCGUUGUAUUAGCUAGUAGGUGAGGUAACGGCUCACCUAGGCGACGAUACAUAGCCGACCUGAGAGGGUGAUCGGCCACACUGGGAAUGAGACACGGCCCAGACUCCUACGGGAGGGAGCAGUAGGGAAUCUUCGGCAAUGGACGAAAGUCUGACCGAGCAACGCCGCGUGAGUGAAGAAGGUUUUCGGAUCGUAAAGCUCUGUUGUAAGAGAAGAACGGGUGUGAGAGUGGAAAGUUCACACUGUGACGGUAUCUUACCAGAAAGGGACGGCUAACUACGUG